UUUAGGUAACAACCAGGGUGUAGGACAAAGUUGGCAUUGCCCAUUCUGCUAGGCUUUCAUGACACACCAGACCUGUUAAGAAAGCAGAUUUAACAGAGGUGCAGGCAUCCAACUGCCCACUUGCACUCCAAACUAAGUGACUGAACUACAGCUUGUACUAAGAUAUGCCUGGACUUCAUCUGAUAACAAAGGUGUACAUCAGGGUGACCUGAAAUCACUCCAGAAGCCACUCUUGAGUCAGAAUGUGUGAAAUGGAUUUAAUCAAGUACAAGGACCUGUAAUUCAAGGAAUCACAACUAAGAUGGACAGAAGAACCCACCUACUAGAAGGUUUUGUAACUGGAAGUGACUUCAAUCCAAUCAGAAGGUUCAACCUUCCUUUAAAACUCUCCACGCCAUCCUGAAGAAGCUCUCUCUCUCUCUCUCUCUGACAUAUUCGCUGGACACUCACUGAACUCCAUGGGAAUUCUUUCAGAGCACCCUCUCUGGGAUUCUCUCAGAGAUGGGGGAAUAUGCAAAAUAAUCCAAUGAAAAAGCUAUAAGUCAAUCUAUCUCUUCAAGAGCUGUACCCAAUAAACUCUUAUCUUUGAUAACUUGACAGAUGAGAUCCAGUUUGCCAAGCUAAACAGUUAGCCAGUCUGAAGGCUGAUAAGCAGCCAUCAUUUCAAGAAGGGAACUUCAGCACCUACACUUUUGAGCCAAAAAGACUAAUGCUUUCCCUAAGAUGCAGAUGGCAGAGGAAAUGGCCUAACAACAAAAAGCAAGCUGAGGAAGCAGAAGCACAUCACUAAUAAGGAUUAUAGUGCACUCCAAGGCAUGAAGAAUCUACCAUUUGAACCUGGAGCAACAACAAAGAAACAGAUCCACACAACAUCAGACAUCACCAUAAAGACCUGCAAGUGUGCCUCUGUUACCUUGAUAUAAGUCUAAAGGCCGGAGACCCACCUCCUACAACUGAGAAAGGCCCAUUGAUGGCACAACUUCUGAUCCCAGGCCUGAUGACACCAUUUCUGGUUCCGGCCCCAUUGGUAAUGUCAUUUCCGAUCCCGGGCCUGAUGACACCACUUCUGGUUCCGGCCCCAUUGGUAAUGUCAUUUCCGAUCCCGGGCCUGAUGACACCACUUCUGGUUCCAAUCCCAUUAAUGAUGUAAUUUCUGGUCCUGGGCCUGAUGAUACCACUUCCGCUUCUGGCCCCAUCGAUGAUGUCAUUUCCUCUGUUUACCUUUAAAACCGCCAUUUUGACCAUCUCUAAUCAGUUCUGUUCUGGACUCCAAUCUGUACACAUCAGUACAAUAAUGCAUCCAAUUUUACAGCCAGGAAAUAACAUACGGAUGGCUGCCCCAAACCUUUCUGUGGUUUUUGUCGAGUUUGUGACACCUGAUAUAAGGGAUGAUUACUAUGUGCACAAGUGUGUUUUGUGAUAAAUUAAUGAGUUGUUGUGUUACACCAAAAUAUACUGGGAUGUGUUCCAACCGAACUUGGCCCUAUUAAAAUAAAAGGAAAAUACAAAAACUGAAUGCAUGGAUACAUGGAA